CCGCAGAGCUGACCGAGGAGCAACAGCAGUUGCUGGCCAUAUCCGUGAAGAUAGGGUUCCUCGACCAACAGACAGAGGAGGGCCCAGCAGUCACAGCUGAGGAGCAAAAGCAUGAAGCGGACACCAGCUCCAGCACCUACUCCCGCUGCAUCAGGGGAUUGUCCGUGGGGGCUGGGGGCUGACACCUUGAACUCGGAUGCGGAGUUUGACAUGCUUCGAGCUGCAGAAGUACGUUCCGCGCUUCGGUUCUUCAGCACAACCUCGAGUGGAAUAACCGUCACGAGACACUGGACGCUGUCCGCUCAGCGAGGAGUCUGGAGAUGUUGUGGGCUCCAAAGCUAAUGUGGGAAUUUAUGGAGAACCCUCAAACUUUUUUAAGGAAUAAGAAAGGAGUUUGGGACGGGGGGUAUUCUGUUCAGAAAAGAAGUAUAGUUCACUUAUGGAAAUAGAGCUCACCAUAUGCAGUCUGCACCCCAAAACUUCCAGUCUCCCAUGGGAGAUACAAAGUUCUAGAACCUUGGAGGGUGUUCUUCCUGACCCUCCACCAGUCAUGCCUCCAUUCAACCUGCUUUCCUCCCUCCUUAUUCCACCUCCUUUCACUCAGAGAAGACCUGGAAGUGUGUCUGUGCAAGGGGCAACUUUCCCCAAGGGCUCCAGCCAUCUGCAUCCUACCAGUGGGCUCCAUACCCUACAGCCACAGUCCUGAACCUCCUCCCUCAUAGCUGCCAGCUUCUCCCUGUUCUUGCCGGGAUUCCUGCCUUCCACCCUCCUGAACUCCGGUAGACUGCCCCAUCUCUCUCCUUUUGGGUCCCUUGUUGAGGAGAAAAUCGACAAUAAUAAAAAGGAAAAUGAGUAAGAAAAUAA